rnacentral:rRNA from 1 species
GAUGAACGCUAGCUACAGGCUUAACACAUGCAAGUCGAGGGGAAACGCCAUCGAAAGCUUGCUUUUGAUGGGCGUCGACCGGCGCACGGGUGAGUAACGCGUAUCCAACCUGCCCAUCACUUGGGGAUAACCUUGCGAACGUAAGACUAAUACCCAAUGAUAUCUCUAGAAGACAUCUGAAAGAGAUUAAAGAUUUAUCGGUGAUGGAUGGGGAUGCGUCUGAUUAGCUUGUUGGCGGGGUAACGGCCCACCAAGGCAACGAUCAGUAGGGGUUCUGAGAGGAGGGUCCCCCACAGUGGAACUGAGACACGGGCCAAACUCCUACGGGAGGGAGCAGUGAGGAAUAUUGGUCAAUGGGCGAGAGCCUGAACCAGCCAAGUAGCGUGCAGGAAGACGGCGUUAUGGGUUGUAAACUGCUUUUAGAAGGGAAUAAAGUGAGAGUCGUGACUCUUUUUGUAUGUACCUUAUGAAUAAGGACCGGCUAAUUCCGUG